UACCCCGAGGAAAAGAAAUCAACCGAGAUUCCCCCAGUAGCGGCGAGCGAACGGGGAGGAGCCCAGAGCCUGAAUCAGCAUGUGUGUUAGUGGAAGCGUCUGGAAAGGCGCGCGAUACAGGGUGACAGCCCCGUACACAAAAGCGCAUGUGCUGUGAGCUCGAUGAGUAGGGCGGGACACGUGGUAUCCUGUCUGAAUAUGGGGGGACCAUCCUCCAAGGCUAAAUACUCCUGACUGACCGAUAGUGAACCAGUACCGUGAGGGAAAGGCGAAAAGAACCCCGGCGAGGGGAGUGAAAAAGAACCUGAAACCGUGUACGUACAAGCAGUGGGAGCCCCACCACCAAAGCAUUUGCUGUACCGCGUUGACGGAGCGAAGCGACGUCAAACCGAUAAAACAGCAGUGUAAAGUGAGCCGCAGGGCGCUUUGCGCGACAGCGCAAAGGCAGGCGGUUUCGCGUAGCGAAAGCGAAUGCUUUGGGGUGGGGUGACUGCGUACCUUUUGUAUAAUGGGUCAGCGACUUAUAUUCUGUAGCAAGGUUAACCGUAUAGGGGAGCCGUAGGGAAACCGAGUCUUAACCGGGCGUUAAGUUGCAGGGUAUAGACCCGAAACCCGGUGAUCUAGCCAUGGGCAGGUUGAAGGUUGGGUAACACUAACUGGAGGACCGAACCGACUAAUGUUGAAAAAUUAGCGGAUGACCUGUGGCUGGGGGUGAAAGGCCAAUCAAACCGGGAGAUAGCUGGUUCUCCCCGAAAGCUAUUUAGGUAGCGCCUCGUGAAUUCAUCUCCGGGGGUAGAGCACUGUUUCGGCUAGGGGGCCAUCCCGGCUUACCAACCCGAUGCAAACUGCGAAUACCGGAGAAUGUUAUCACGGGAGACACACGGCGGGUGCUAACGUCCGUCGUGAAGAGGGAAACAACCCAGACCGCCAGCUAAGGUCCCAAAGUCAUGGUUAAGUGGGAAACGAUGUGGGAAGGCCCAGACAGCCAGGAUGUUGGCUUAGAAGCAGCCAUCAUUUAAAGAAAGCGUAAUAGCUCACUGGUCGAGUCGGCCUGCGCGGAAGAUGUAACGGGGCUAAACCAU
rnacentral:rRNA from 1 species